UGUAAGCAUUGGAUCCUGUAUUGCAUGUGAUAGAGCUGAGUACAGAAUAGAGGAUACAUGUUGUCUCAUGUGUUCACCAGGAAAUCAUGUACAUAAGCAUUGUACUGAAUUCACCACUACCUCCUGUGUGUCCUGUGUUGAUUCUACAUUCCUUGAUGAGCCCAAUGGUCUCAUGAAAUGUGCACCAUGUUCCAGCUGUGAUUCAGAUUUGGGUUUGAGGGUGAAACAGCCAUGCACAUCACAAACAGAUGAUUUUUGUGAGCCACUGGAGGGGUUCUUUUGUUGGUUCUCAAACAGAAAUGGUUGUAAAAUAGCCCAGAAACACAGAAGCUGUCAACCUGGUCAAUACAUCCAUCACACAGGAACAUCAUCUACAGAUACUGUGUGUUCUGACUGUACUGGUGACACCUAUUCAGAUGGAUCAUUAACAUCCUGCCAGUCACACACACAAUGUGAAUCCUUGGGACUUCAGGAAAUUAAACCAGGAUCUCCUUGGUCGGAUUCAGAGUGUGGACCACAACUAUCCCAUUCCACAGCUAGAAGCAGAUUUGGUGCUGUGGCAUCCAUAACAGUUCUCAUGAUAUUAGCUGGAGCUGUUUUAUUAAUAAUAGUGAGAAGAAAUGUCGGCAUUUUAUCUGUUUCUAUUGCGUCGGUAAAUUAUUUAGUGUGUGUGUGUGAGUAUGAGUGAGUCAGAGAGAGGAGCGUCAAGUAACCUAGCGGGACGGCAGGUAACCUAGCAGUUAGGAGUGUUAUACCAGUAACCUAGCAGUUAGGAGUGUUAUACCAGUAACCUAGCGGGACGGCAGGUAACCUAGCAGUUAGGAGUGUUAUACCAGUAACCUAGCGGGACGGCAGGUAACCUAGCAGUUAGGAGUGUUAUACCAGUAACCUAGCGGGACGGCAGGUAACCUAGCAGUUAGGAGUGUUGUACCAGUAACCUAGC